rnacentral:sRNA from 1 species
GGAUGUGAAGGUGAGCUGGCCGUGACAUCUGUCACCCCACUGGUCACCAAGGUUAAUGUGGCUGAUCUGGCUGGCUAGGUAGGUGUCCCCCUCUUCCCCCUCCCCAGUCCAUGUGAACCCCUCCCAUAACUCCACUCUUGGUCAAAGACGAUGACCUUCUGCAAACAGAGGAGAAGUGGUCUUUGGUCAUGUGGUCCUUGCCAGAACCCUCCAAACAUGCUCUGGAGGUUUUGCAAUUUUAGGUAUAGUUGUUUACAAUACUUAAAGGCUGGAAGCCUAAAAUGUCCAAAAUACAAAGCUAUUUGAAGAAGUUGCCAAGUUUCUU